AGGGAGAGAGAACUGGGAUGUUUCGAUAUAUGGGGGAUCCUAAUUCCAUAUGUGAAGUUGUGUAUGAAAUGUUCUAAAUACCUACAGAAACCUGCUGAAAUAAGGGAACACUGAGCAUGCCCAGGAGAAACACUUCAGGGGCAUUUUGGGAAUUCUGGCUUAUGGAGGCCGGAAGACUCCAUUGAAGUACCUGUUGUUGAAGUGAGCUUCCUCCAUCAAUAGAUGGAUUUAUGGCAGAAACUGAAUGAAUCAGUUCUGUGUCUCAGUGGAAGCCCAGAAGAACAAAUAGAAGAUGCAAGUAUAAUUUUAAAAAACAUAGAGUAGUGAAUAUUAUUUGGGUUCCAUUUUGUUUUACAGGGCUAAUAAAUUCAGCUCAGGUUUGUCGUGGAUUUUCCUAGAGCUGGCACAUACAGAUGGAUACAGACUAACAGGUUUGGAGGUUUUAAUUGUUAACAAAUAAGGAAUGGUCAUUUUAGUUCAUGUUGGUUUUUAUACUUGGAGUCCAUUUGAACACCCUGUAAACUGGCACUGUAGGUUCUCACCUGGUCCCAACCACAUUGGAAGCCUAAGUUGUGUUUCAGAAAGUUCCUAGGUCUAGAUUGAUGGAAGUUCUUGCAGUCAUUCUCAUUGCAGUGCAAAGUUUCUUGAGUCACCAGUUCUGGAAAUUCAUCUCUUAAUUUAUUUGCAUAGGAUAACUGAGGUGUCUGUUAAGUGCCUGGGAGAAUCCAUCUUAAUCGCGGCAGAGCUGGACGCAGCUUCCACGACUGAAGAAUCAACAGAACUACAACCAAUUGUUUAAAUUGUGAAAGAAAACCAGCAAAAAAGGCCAGCCAUCUGCAAUGGAACAAAACCACAGAAAACCUGGGAUCACCGGCAGCACCUCUGAACACUCAAGCUCCAAGGUUCAACAGUUCUCUACUUACGGCUGUUUCUAGGAUUACUGUCAUAUGGAAUACUGUACAUAAAACAUUGGUUCAUUAAAUCCUUUGUCAGUCACCCUAAAGUUUUCUGCAUUUACAGGUAACAAAGAGAUUUCACCAACAUCUGAAUAAAUACGUCACUCCACAGAU